GACGAACGCUGGCGGCGUGCUUAACACAUGCAAGUCGAACGGUGAAGCGAGUGCUUGCACUCGUGGAUCAGCGGCGAACGGGUGAGUAACACGUGAGUAACCUGCCCAUCACUCUGGGAUAAGCACUGGAAACGGUGUCUAAUACUGGAUACGACCAACCCUUGCAUGGGGUGUUGGUGGAAAGAUUUAUCGGUGAUGGAUGGACUCGCGGCCUAUCAGCUUGUUGGCGGGGUGAUGGCCCACCAAGGCGACGACGGGUAGCCGGCCUGAGAGGGUGACCGGCCACACUGGGACUGAGACACGGCCCAGACUCCUACGGGAGGCAGCAGUGGGGAAUAUUGCACAAUGGGCGAAAGCCUGAUGCAGCGACGCCGCGUGAGGGAUGACGGCCUUCGGGUUGUAAACCUCUUUCAGCAGGGAAGAAGCGAAAGUGACGGUACCUGCAGAAGAAGCACCGGCUAACUACGUG
rnacentral:rRNA from 1 species